rnacentral:rRNA from 8 species
ACGACUCUCGGCAACGGAUAUCUCGGCUCUCGCAUCGAUGAAGAACGUAGCGAAAUGCGAUACUUGGUGUGAAUUGCAGAAUCCCGCGAACCAUCGAGUCUUUGAACGCAAGUUGCGCCCGAGGCCACCCGGCCGAGGGCACGCCUGCCUGGGCGUCACGCACCGUGCU